rnacentral:rRNA from 1 species
GAUGAACGCUGGCGGCGUGCCUAAUACAUGCAAGUCGAGCGAACAGACGAGGAGCUUGCUCCUCUGACGUUAGCGGCGGACGGGUGAGUAACACGUGGAUAACCUACCUAUAAGACUGGGAUAACUUCGGGAAACCGGAGCUAAUACCGGAUAAUAUAUUGAACCGCAUGGUUCAAUAGUGAAAGACGGUUUUGCUGUCACUUAUAGAUGGAUCCGCGCCGCAUUAGCUAGUUGGUAAGGUAACGGCUUACCAAGGCGACGAUGCGUAGCCGACCUGCGAGGGUGAUCGGCCACGCUGGAACUGAGACACGGUCCAGACUCCUACGGGAGGCAGCAGUAGGGAAUCUUCCGCAAAGGGCGAAAGCCUGACGGAGCAACGCCGCGUGAGUGAUGAAGGUCUUCGGAUCGUAAAACUCUGUUAUUAGGGAAGAACAAAUGUGUAAGUAACUAUGCACGUCUUGACGGUACCUAAUCAGAAAGCCACGGCUAACUACGUG